ACAGGGGGCUAUAAAAGAUGUAACAGAUGCAAACUGUAACACAAGGGCCAUUAACCCUUUCUCUGCCGGGCACACUCAGUCCCCACGCCCCACACCUAUUGUCUCCUGUGCUAGAAGCUUUGCAGAAAACCUGGAAAGUGAGUAUCAGUUUCCACACAUUUGCUGAGAGGGGUGAAGGGAGGGGGGCAGAGAGAAGGGGAAGUGGAUAUUUUAGAAAGCACCUUAAAUUUACCUAGGCAUACAUAGUAGGAGACUUUUAAGUUUGACAUAUUUUAUCAUUUCUUUCCUUGUCCUAUUGAUUUGAAAUUGUUAGGGGAAAUCCUGAAAUAAAGAAAUGGUCACACAAGUGUCUGGGAUGAAACAGCUGGCCUGUCUAUAUUCAUCCUGAGACACACGACUGCAUAUAAAUACAUGUUUAAUAAAGUAAGUUGCUAGUUUUAUGGGCAUGUGUGUGUGUGAGAGAGAGAGACAGGGCAUUUGUGCUGUAAACUUUAUCUUUGCCUGUUACUCCUAAGUCUGGAGUUAGUAAUCUUGCCUUCAUCAUUACAGGGGGAGCAUGUAAAAUAUAUCAGUAGGUGGGAGAUAAACACAUUCAUGUUAGCCGGGCUCAUCACUGUUCCUGGGAACUCCUGCUAUCUCUCUCUCGACUUUUCAGUGCCAAAGUAUGGAAUGGGAUAUAUGUGUGUAUGUGUCUUCUAUUAAAUCCAUGUCUAUAUUACUUUGCCACUAAAAAUACAAUUUUAAAAGUUAUCCUAAUUUAAAACCCUGAUAUCCUGACAGCAGUUUUCUUCCCAGCUGUAGUGCCCCCCCCUCCACUUUGGUAAACGACUCAAGUUCCAUGAGGACUUUCACUUCUUUAUUUAUAAUCACAGAAGUGAGGUGUUACUUCACACACAUACACACACAAAGAAUGAAAUAAAGAAAUGAAACUCGCUAAGCAGACAAAAACAGACAACUUUCUGCUUAGAAAACAGCCUUCUCGGUGGGAGAGGAUGAACUGCCAUGUCUAAGAGAAAGACUUGCCCCCGAAUUUGUAGGUCUGUAACUGACCAAGUUUUGUAAUUAUUAACAGGUAUUUGCCAAGUCCUAAUUGCUGAAUAUAAUGAAUUGGAACUAGAUGCGAAAAUAGAGCAGGACCUCUCCCCUUGAUGAGUUUUUAUUCCAGCCAUAUAAUUCUCAAUAAAACUUUUCCUGGGCUGGAUAGCAAAGGACACCUUUGGUUACCUGAAUGAACAGUUUUGGCCAGAAAUGGUGAGAAGAAAAAGCAUGAAGAAGCCGCGAAGUGUGGGGGAGAAAAAGGUGGAAGCGAAGAAACAGCUCCCGGAGCAAACUGUACAAAAACCUCGCCAAGAGUGUCGGGAGGCAGGACCGUUAUUCCUGCAGAGCAGGAGAGAGACGAGAGACCCUGAAACACGCGCCACCUAUCUUUGUGGGGAGGGAUAAUUGAAGCGCCCUGAGCGUACCAGAGCCAGAAAAAAAAAUGCUGCAUGGGAGCUGCAUCUUAGGGCAUGUGUAUUAGGGUGUGUGCAUGAUGAAUUUCUGGACUGGAUCCCAAUAUUAAAAAGUAGUUUGGCAUUUUAAUAAAGGGUCUCUAAGUAAAUUAAAAUAGAACACUCGGUUGGCCGAUCUCUGAAUCUCUCUACACCUCGGGGAGACCUCACUACAAAGUAAGGGAGAGUGUGUAGGGAGGCAGGAGGAGAAACGAGAAAGGCCAUAGAGAAACUUAGCAGGGAAGGGAGAGCAUGAUAUUAAACGGCAUGGGGUCUAAGUUUUGGAGUAUAUAUUUUUUGAUAUUACAAUUAAAGUAAGAUUAAAAAGAAAAGACUCCACCUUUGCUCUGAAGGGAUUGGUUAUGCAAAUAUGGAAGGGAUUUCCUGGAGAAUACAGCUUUCUACUGUAUGGUUAAUUAAAUAAUCACUCAAAAGCUUCCAACGUGACGCUUCUGUCGUAAUCCAAUCAGGUUACAUAGGUCCUAAACAAGAAAGAUAUUUUCCACAUCUGGAAGUCAGCAAUUUAGCAAGUACUGCACAUUAUUAACCAAUUCAGAGCCCACUUCCCAGGGGAAUUUUUUUGAAGUUUAAGUGUUCUUAACCAAUGCUCUGCUGUUUUGUUAAUCAAAAAGCUGGUUUACACUGCACAUAAUUGGAACUAAUAUAGAAGUAAAUAAAGACAGCCAAAUUUGAGGAUGCUGAGCACAGGCAUUUAUCGGAAAAGGAAGAAAUCUCCUAUCCUCGGAUGGUUCAGGCUCAAUUUCUUAAAUAACUGUGAGACUUUUUUUUUUUUCCUAAAGAGUGAAAGUGCUUGAGAACCUCAGAGCACAAAUAAACUUCUAGCCUCACAGCAUUUAGGAUUCUUCGGAAAGGUAAAGGUGGAGGUGUUAAGAGGACCAGAGAGCUGCCUCACACCAAUUUUUAAGCUUUAAUAUUGUUAAAUAUGUUACACCCUCCUGUUUCCAGUCUGAUGAAAUCUGAAACAAAUAAUACCCUGAUCCAACACUAUAUUAAGAUAAACUGCUUUGAACUGUGCUUUGAAUGUGUGCCUAAAGCAAGACUUUGAAUGCAAGAGUCACUGGCAAUUGCACUCAAAGGAGGGACAAGCCACCACAUGGGUUGCCACAUCCACACUCCCAGAGAAAGCUUCACAUGUGAGAUAAAUGCACUCAAAGAUUCCUCACAAGUAGCUCUUUGGAGCUUCAGAUGUGAAAUGGAUCAUUCCUCAAUCUGUAAUAGACCCUUCUGUGAAGCUCUUCAAUCAAACCAGAGAAUUCAAGAGUUUCCAACACCUAAGAGUGGUAUUUGGCAAAUGGUGGGCCAAAGGAAUAAAGAAGGCAUGCAAAACUCUUGACAGAAGACAUUCAGAAAUUGAUUUGAUAUCAGAUACAAGGAGAAAAUAUGCCAGUAAGAAAAUGCAUUUUUCAAGAUUAAAUUCGGCAUUUGUUACUUAAUAGCAUUUGUCAUAUUCCAAUUUUUCAUAUGUAGUAAAUUCAUUUCAAAUCAUUUCGCUCUUCCAAGUGCCUUUGUGUAUUGUAUUUCUUUUUUCACAUCCUUUUGGAUAACAUUUGAGA
rnacentral:lncRNA from 1 species